GGAUGUAGCCAAGUGGAUCAAGGCAGUGGAUUGUGA
rnacentral:tRNA from 1 species